rfam:Calypte anna contig1869, whole genome shotgun sequence.
UCAGUCUGAAAAUCACUGGGGGUCUCUUGUGGCCCCUGGUGAGAUAACUGCGCCGACAGCAUAGGGAACAUAAAGCUUAUUGCCCGCGGCGCUCCGUGGACAGUAAAACCCAUGUUCCUAUAGCC